AUGUUCGGGAAGAAGAAGAAGCGGGUCGAGAUCUCUGCGCCGUCUAACUUCGAGCACCGCGUGCACACGGGCUUCGACCAGCAUGAGCAGAGGUUCACGGGGCUGCCCCGCCAAUGGCAGAGCCUGAUCGAGGAGUCGGCCCGCCGGCCCAAGCCCCUCAUCGACCCCGCCUGCAUCACCUCCAUCCAGCCUGGGGCCCCCAAGGCGGAGCCUCACAACAUGGCCCCCAACGGGCCAUCGGUGGGGGGCCUGGCCAUCCCCCAGUCCUCCUCCUCCCGGCCCCCUGCCCGAGCCCAUGGCGCCCCCAGCCCUGGAGUGCUGGGCCCCCACGCCUCUGAGCCCCAGCUGGCCCCCCCAGCCCGCACCCUCACCGCCCCCGCAGGGCCCCCUGCCCCCGGGCCCCCCGGCCCCCGCUCACCGCAGCGGGAGCCCCAGCGAGUGUCCCACGAGCAGUUCCGGGCUGCCCUGCAGCUGGUGGUGGACCCCGGCGACCCCCGCUCCUACCUGGACAACUUCAUCAAGAUUGGCGAGGGCUCCACCGGCAUCGUGUGCAUCGCGACUGUGCGCAGCUCUGGCAGGCUGGUGGCCGUCAAGAAGAUGGACCUGCGCAAGCAGCAGCGGCGGGAGCUGCUCUUCAACGAGGUGGUGAUCAUGAGGGACUACCAGCAUGAGAACGUGGUGGAGAUGUACAACAGCUACCUGGUCGGGGACGAGCUCUGGGUGGUGAUGGAGUUCCUGGAGGGAGGUGCCCUCACCGACAUCGUCACGCACACCAGGAUGAACGAGGAGCAGAUCGCUGCUGUGUGCCUGGCCGUGCUGCAGGCCCUGUCCGUGCUCCACGCCCAGGGAGUCAUCCACCGGGACAUCAAGAGUGACUCCAUCCUGCUGACCCACGACGGCAGGGUGAAGCUGUCAGACUUCGGGUUCUGCGCCCAGGUGAGCAAGGAGGUGCCUCGGAGGAAGUCCCUAGUCGGCACACCCUACUGGAUGGCCCCAGAGCUCAUCUCCCGCCUGCCCUAUGGGCCAGAGGUGGACAUCUGGUCUCUGGGGGUGAUGGUGAUCGAGAUGGUGGACGGGGAGCCCCCUUACUUCAAUGAGCCACCCCUCAAAGCCAUGAAGAUGAUCCGGGACAACCUGCCACCCCGACUGAAGAACCUGCACAAGGUGUCACCGUCCCUGAAGGGCUUCCUGGACCGCCUGCUGGUGCGUGACCCAGCCCAGCGGGCCACAGCGGCCGAGCUGCUCAAACACCCGUUCCUGGCCAAAGCGGGCCCACCCGCCAGCAUCGUGCCCCUCAUGCGUCAGAACCGCACCCGAUGAGGCCCGGUGCCACCCCCACCCCUGAACCAAAGAGCCCCCUGGGUCACCCCUGCCU
rnacentral:lncRNA from 1 species